AGAGUUUGAUCCUGGCUCAGGAUGAACGCUAGCGACAGGCCUAACACAUGCAAGUCGAGGGGCAGCGGAGAGGUAGCAAUACCUUUGCCGGCGACCGGCGCACGGGUGAGUAACACGUAUGCAAUCCACCUGUAACAGGGGGAUAACCCGGAGAAAUCCGGACUAAUACCCCAUAAUAUGGGCGCUCCGCAUGGAGAGCCCAUUAAAGAGAGCAAUUUUGGUUACAGACGAGCAUGCGCUCCAUUAGCCAGUUGGCGGGGUAACGGCCCACCAAAGCGACGAUGGAUAGGGGUUCUGAGAGGAAGGUCCCCCACAUUGGAACUGAGACACGGUCCAAACUCCUACGGGAGGCAGCAGUGAGGAAUAUUGGUCAAUGGUCGGCAGACUGAACCAGCCAAGUCGCGUGAGGGAAGACGGCCCUACGGGUUGUAAACCUCUUUUGUCGGAGAGUAAAGUACGCUACGUGUAGCGUAUUGCAAGUAUCCGAAGAAAAAGCAUCGGCUAACUCCGUGCCAGCAGCCGCGGUAAUACGGAGGAUGCAAGCGUUAUCCGGAUUUAUUGGGUUUAAAGGGUGCGUAGGCGGCACGCCAAGUCAGCGGUGAAAUUUCCGGGCUCAACCCGGACUGUGCCGUUGAAACUGGCGAGCUAGAGUGCACAAGAGGCAGGCGGAAUGCGUGGUGUAGCGGUGAAAUGCAUAGAUAUCACGCAGAACCCCGAUUGCGAAGGCAGCCUGCUAGGGUGAAACAGACGCUGAGGCACGAAAGCGUGGGUAUCGAACAGGAUUAGAUACCCUGGUAGUCCACGCAGUAAACGAUGAAUACUAACUGUUUGCGAUACAAUGUAAGCGGUACAGCGAAAGCGUUAAGUAUUCCACCUGGGGAGUACGCCGGCAACGGUGAAACUCAAAGGAAUUGACGGGGGCCCGCACAAGCGGAGGAACAUGUGGUUUAAUUCGAUGAUACGCGAGGAACCUUACCCGGGCUCAAACGCAGGGGGAAUAUAUAUGAAAGUAUAUAGCUAGCAAUAGUCACCUGCGAGGUGCUGCAUGGUUGUCGUCAGCUCGUGCCGUGAGGUGUCGGCUUAAGUGCCA
rnacentral:rRNA from 1 species